rfam:Gossypium hirsutum cultivar TM-1 chromosome 19, whole genome shotgun sequence
UGUUAAAAAAUAUAUUCAUUUAUACUGUUAAAAACUGACAUGACUGACAAAAUAACCAGACAAUGACACAUGGCAAGCGACAUGUACCCCAUACUGAUAUACAUGAACCAAUUUUUAAUGGUAGAAAUGGAUAAAAAUUUUAACA